rnacentral:rRNA from 1 species
AGUGAACGCUGGCGGUAGGCCUAACACAUGCAAGUCGAACGGCAGCACAGUAAGAGCUUGCUCUUACGGGUGGCGAGUGGCGGACGUGUGAGGAAUACAUCGGAAUCUACUUUUUCGUGGGGGAUAACGUAGGGAAACUUACGCUAAUACCGCAUACGACCUACGGGUGAAAGCAGGGGAUCUUCGGACCUUUCGCGAUUGAAUGAGCCGAUGUCGGAUUAGCUAGUUGGCGGGGUAAAGGCCCACCAAGGCGACGAUCCGUAGCUGGUCUGAGGGGAUGAUCAGCCACACUGGAACUGAGACACGGUCCAGACUCCUACGGGAGGGAGCAGUGGGGAAUAUUGGACAAUGGGCGCGAGCCUGGUCCAGCCAUACCGCGUGGGUGAAGGAGGCCUUCGGGUUGUAAAGCCCUUUUGUUGGGAAAGAAAAGCAGCAGGUUAAUACCCCGCUGUUCUGACGGUACCCAAAGAAUAAGCACCGGCUAACUUCGUG